CAAAGAAGGAAAACACUGUCCCUAUUCCAGAAGCUUUCAUGGGGCCACUCCCAGCUAUUGCUCCUGCCCUGACAUCCAGCAGUGCAAUUUAGUUUGCCUCCUUUGAAAUUACAUCCAUGGAAUUACCCAGCAGGCAAUCUUGUUUUGAGCGCACUCUGUUCGACCUCCUGUUUGUGGCAGGUGCCUGUGUCGUAGGUAGUUGGAGUGUCUUCACGGUUGUUUCUGCACUGCACUCAGUUGUAAGGAACUACCACCCCCUUGUCCACCCCUUAUUUAUACUUUUAUUAUUGACACAUAUUUUGGUUGUUUCUAGCAGUGCCACAGCAUUCAUUCACAGGUUAUUUAGUGCACAUGGGAAUCACUUUGGGUAUAGAAGUAGGAGUGAAAUUGCUGGGUCACGAUGUAAGAUCCAUUCUCUGGGAAGGCCAUACUUUUCCAAAGUGGUUGUGCCCCUAAACCAAUGUACCUACCAGUAGUAGCACAAGAGAGUUACUUUUGGUCUACACCCAUAUCCAUAGUUAAUAUUGUCAUGGUUUUUGAUUUUAACUGUUUUGGUGUAUGUAUAGUCAUAUCUUGUGGCUUUAAUUUGUAUCCUGAUUAUUGAUGAAAUUGAGAAUAUUUUUCACAUACUAAUUGGCUAUAUUUUGAUUGCUUUUGAGUGUUUGAGUGUUCAUGCACCCUGAAUAUAAGCUCUUUACUAGUUAUAUCCAUAUAUCUGUGAAUAUACAAACACGUAUAUCUUUAUCUACAUUUAUAUCUAUAUUGCACAUAUAGCUGUUCUCUGUGGAUUGCAUUUUAUUCUCUGGUCACUUAAAGAACAGAAUUUCUUAAUUCUUAUAUACUCUAGUAAUCAGUAUUAUUUUAUGAGGUUAGAACUUUGGUGUCUGGUUUAGGAAUCCUUUCCUUACCCAAGGUGAUGAAGACACAUCAUUUAUUUUCUCAUGACUAUCAGAUUGAUACAGUUCCAUUGCUAUGAUUUGAAUGUGUUCCCCAAAGUUCACAUAUUAGAAAUACAUGCAGCAGUGUUGGGAAGUAGGCCCUUUCAGAGGGGAUUAGGUCAUGAGAGUUCUGUCACAUGCAGGGAUUGGUGGUGUUGUGGGAAUGUACUCAGUAUCGUGAGAGCAGAUUUAUUGUAAAAGCCAGGUAAGCCAUUUCUUUUCUCUCCCACAUGGGUGUGCUCUCUUGCCCUUCCACAUUUCACCAUGAAAUGAUACAGCUAAAGGCCCUUGCCAGAUCCUUAAUAUUGGAUCUCCCACUCUCUAGACCUAUAAAAGAUAGUUUCUUUAUAAACUGCCCAAUCUCUGGUAUUCUUUUAUAGCAAAACAAAGUGAAUUCAGACAACUGAGUGCUGAAAAACCUUAUUUCUUCCACAGUUCUGAAGUGUCAACUCUAUUAUGCACACAGUGUUCCUAUAGGCGUGUUUCUCUUUCAGGCGUUUCUAUUAUAGUUUAUGGGUUUGUGGACAAAUAACCCUUGCCCUAAUUUGAAGUAGUAUUACAGAGUCUUGGUAUUUGGCAGUACAGGUCUUCUUGUUGUUCUUGAUUGCAUGGCUUUUCUUUACGUUUCCAUAUAGCUUUUGAAUAAGAUUGCUAGUUUUCACAAAAAUAUAGCUGGUAUUUUGAUUGACACUUAGCAUAUAGACCAACUAGCAAGAAUUGAAAUAUUUAUAAUAAUCAAUGAACAUUGUAUAUCUCUCC
rnacentral:lncRNA from 1 species